GGGGGCGCGCGCGGGAAAGGCAAAUUUGGAGCGGCUGAAAAAGGCUGGGAGCCGCGAUCGCGAGCGGGAGUUAGGGUUUUUUUUUUUUUUGCUGGGGUUUGUUGCAGCGUUUGCUGGAGAAGCUGGUCUUGGAGGAGCCGGGAUGGUACGGACCAAAGCGGACUGUGGAGGGACCGGCGGAGCCUACCGCAAAGUGGUAGCCGCUAGGGCACCUCGCAAAGUACUGGGCUCUGGGAACGCCAAUGUGGGUUCUACACCGACUUCACGGAAAGCUGAAAGUAAAUAUGCUGGUGGGAACCCCGUGUGUGUGAGACCAACACCCCCAUGGCAAAAAGGAAUUGGAGAGUUCUUCAGCCAUUCCCCAAAGCAUUUGGAGAAGGAGAAUCAGAUCUCUGAGGAGGAGCCAGGAUGCAGUGGAAUAGGAAAGCGCCGAAGAAAGUAAGGAGUGUGUCCUCUUGUAACUUAGCAAGGUGACAAGGUCUGCUUUCAGCUGAGCUCGUCCUUUGCCUCCUUAUCCUGCAGAACAUGAAGCAUCCUCUGAAGAUGAGCAAAUGUGAUCAAAUCGAGCUUCAUCUGUUGACACUUUUUUUGCCAUGGUCUGUGUCUGAGGGGUGGUGUUAUGUGUACAUUUGUGUAUAUAUAUAUUACAUGUGUCUGGUCUGAAAACAGGUCUUUUAAAAAGCCUGUUGUACUUGUUUACUAAAUAUUCUCAGCCGAAAACUUGAAUGACUGUAAGGGAAUGGGAACCAAUAUGUCCUAGGAGCUUAGCUACCGAUAAAGCACUGCUCGACUGAGUUAACUGGAACCUGAGGCUUAUGCUGAGUGCUGUUUGCUUUCUGCACAUCCUAAUGUUCUGUGCCAUAUGAGUGUUAAAAUAACCCUAUUAAAGUUUUUUAAAACUUCA